rnacentral:rRNA from 1 species
GACGAACGCUGGCGGCGUGCUUAACACAUGCAAGUCGAGCGGUAAGGCCCUUUCGGGGUACGACGAGCGGCGAACGGGUGAGUAACACGUGGGUGACCUCGCCCUCCAGCUCUGGGAGUAAGCCUGGGAAACGUAGGGUCGUAAUACUGGAUAUGACUCCACGGUGCAUGUCGUGGGGUGGAAAGCCUUGUGCGGCUGAGGAUGGGCCCGCGGCCUAUCAGCUUGUUGGUGGGGUGAUGGCCUACCAAGGCGACGACGGGUAGCCGGCCUGAGAGGGCGACCGGCCACACUGGGACUGAGACACGGCCCAGACUCCUACGGGAGGCAGCAGUGGGGAAUCUUGCGCAAUGGGCGAAAGCCUGACGCAGCGACGCCGCGUGAGGGAUGACGGCCCU